rnacentral:tmRNA from 1 species
CUUUAAUUUAGGGCAGAAUCACCCUAUAUUGGAAGUGCUGGGAAACUAGCUAUGGCGAUAAACGACUAGUGCAAUAAGCGAUGCGGACCCGGGGGCGGUACCCGGCGCCUCCACCAAUUCCAUUCUCUGGGACCACUCGAGAACAAUUGGGGGCGAAACAGGAUCGACGCGCGUCUAAAGACUGGUUUUUUGCCCGGCAUUGUACCACCGUUAUCGGGCUAAUUUACAAAUGCCAAUGAUAAUGAUUUGGCCCUCGCUGCCUAACUUUAGGUAAGCGCGGUCCGGGGGGCACCGGGCAACAGAAGCCCCCCA